rnacentral:misc_RNA from 1 species
UUAUCGAAGAAUCGUAAGUUCUCACAAUAUUGCGUAAUUCAUUCUUGAUUCUCACGAAUAGUCGAAUGUAUAAUCUGUCUUUAUGCAGAAUAUGACGUGAUUGUCUUUUAAGUGUCUCAGUGAUGUUUUAUGGGAGCUUGCCGACAAAGAGCUAAUUGAUUUUGGAGACUGAAAUAUGCCAGGAUGUCGCUGUUAUGUUUAUUUUAUAGAGAUUAAAUCACUCUAGUGUGUUUAUAUAGUCCAACAAGUGUUCUUUUUGAUGACGCAUAUGAGAACGGGCCUUAGCUGUGGAUACGUCCAAGUCAGCGUUUUUUUUUUGUGAGAAAAAUAGGCGGUACGAAAUAUUGAGAUCUACUUGUUUGUUUUUUUUUGUGAUUGGUCGAGCUGUUUUGGUAUGCGUUAGAGGGCUUAACCCGAGGCAUAAUUUGCAACUUCUUAUUGGUUGAGAUUUGAUUGAUUGAGUGUUUUGGAUCUGAUGUUGGUAGAAUGGGAGGUUACUUCUUUUUUUUGAAAGAGGGAACCCAGAUUUGAAGGAGAACUAAAGAGUUAGUUCCAUUAAGGCUGUCAUCGAGUUUAGUUCAAGAGAGAGAGAGAGCUAUCGACAAGUAAAGAACUUGCCGGUGCCUCGGGCCGCGAGAUGCGGUUACCGGCAAAAUGAAUAUUGCAGUUCUGUUAUAGUCGUCAUGAAGUGAAGUUCCAGUUAGUUUCCAGUGAAGUUAAAAUGUAGUUACAAGUUUUUCCGGCCCGGCUGGCUAAAGCUCUGAGAGUUUGACUCAGCCCGGCGACACAUGGCGGACAGAUGGUGAACUCCGGCAAUUUUAGCUGCUAUUAGGCGAUUGUCGAUAUUGUUUACCGCUUUUGGUAUCAUUUUUUUACAUGCAGUCAGAUCCAGGAAUUACGCAGAAGAAGUUUUCUUUUGAUGUUACUAGUUCAACACACCAGUUAAAGCCUAAAGUUUGCUAGUAUUUUUUGAUUCCGUUAAUAAACUAGAUAACAAAUUCUUUUUUUAAAUAUUUUUGUUCGAGUAAGUACAAAUUUAUUUAGACAAUGCUGAAUUUUUCUAUAAAGUUUUUUUUAUUAAUUAUGGAGUUGUUUUUAAUGAACUAUGGGUAACCUGAUGUACUUUUGUUGUAUCAAUUUAGUGAAGUGAAAUCGCUCUUUGGACUUAACAACCACCAAGAAAAAGGACUGAUAAACAAGACUCUUGUGAUGACCCCAAUGCUCACUAUGGCUGUGAAUCUCCCUGUAUACCAACGUGCAACUAUCGCCAAUUUGCAAACUGUGCAUCAAAGUGCAUCAAUGGUUGUUUUUGUAACCAAGAUUAUAUUCUAAGUAGAG